AUGAAUCGGGCCCUAAGGGACCGCGUUUCAACAAAAAAAAAAGACCACCUGACUUGUUAUGGCCUUAUGGACCCUGCAGAGAAUAAUAUGUCGAAAGAAGAUGACAGUGUGGCAAUAUCAAUAGAAGACAUGCUGCUUGGAGAUUCAUCACGACCGGAAGAAGCUGAUAGAGUGGCACUGCCGUCGGGAGAAGGCGUACUGCUCGAAGAUUCAUCGCAGUCUCAACUGCAAGAGAUCAGUGUUAACCAUGAUAAUGUGUCGGGAAGAAGCGAACAGAGUGGCAGUGUGGUCAGGAGAGGAUAUAGUGCUUGGAGAUCCGUCGCAGUAUCUAUCAGCUGCAAGAGAUCACGGCUUACAGUCAUCGUCCUCCCUUGCCGACUGAUAAGUUGUUGGAGGUAG
rnacentral:rRNA from 1 species